AAGGUCUCGUUGGUGACCAGCGGAGGGUCAUUACCGAGUUUACAACUCCCAAACCCAAUGUGAACGUUACCAAACUGUUGCCUCGGCGGGAUCUCUGCCCCGGGUGCGUCGCAGCCCCGGACCAAGGCGCCCGCCGGAGGACCAACCAAAACUCUUAUUGUAUACCCCCUCGCGGGUUUUUUUAUAAUCUGAGCCUUCUCGGCGCCUCUCGUAGGCGUUUCGAAAAUGAAUCAAAACUUUCAACAACGGAUCUCUUGGUUCUGGCAUCGAUGAAGAACGCAGCGAAAUGCGAUAAGUAAUGUGAAUUGCAGAAUUCAGUGAAUCAUCGAAUCUUUGAACGCACAUUGCGCCCGCCAGUAUUCUGGCGGGCAUGCCUGUCCGAGCGUCAUUUCAACCCUCGAACCCCUCCGGGGGGUCGGCGUUGGGGAUCGGCCCUGCCUUGGCGGUGGCCGUCUCCGAAAUACAGUGGCGGUCUCGCCGCAGCCUCUCCUGCGCAGUAGUUUGCACACUCGCAUCGGGAGCGCGGCGCGUCCACAGCCGUUAAACACCCAACUUCUGAAAUGUUGACCUCGGAUCAGGUAGGAAUACCCGCUGAACUUAAGCAUACUAA
rnacentral:rRNA from 1 species